rnacentral:tRNA from 1 species
GGCUCAGUGGUCUAGGGGUAUGAUUCCUGCUUUGGGUGCAGGAGGUCCUGGGUUCAAAUCCCAGCUGAGCCC